ensembl:ncRNA lncRNA:CR46235 long non-coding RNA:CR46235
AAUCAAAAACCCGAGCGGCGCGUCAUUAUGUCAUAGUGGUGAAAAUAGGGGGGAAAAAAUGGAAAAUUUAUACAUAGGCAGUUGCAAACGGGAAAUUCAUGGAACAGGCAGCGGCAGCGGUCACGGAAACUGGGGCACAUGCAACUGCAACCGAGCGGUGUCUGUGUGCUCAGCAUGUUUGCACCCGCCAUCAUCAUCCUGUCGCCAAAAGCCACGCCCACUAGCUACCGUCUCCCCUGUCAACCGCCUCUUCCGCCCCCUUGCCCAUCGACCAUCGGGUGUUUGGGGACAGGAAGAGGCUAAUGAAUGCCGCUGUCAAUUAGCAAUGGGCGUUGGUAAAUCAAUUCAAUGACACUGUGGCGCUGCUCAAAUGGCAUUCGCCAGUACAAUUGGUAAGUGAAAAGUGUCUGAAGUUGUCUUAAACGCCAUUAAAUUCGAGCU